GUUGAACGCUGGCGGCGUGCCUAAUACAUGCAAGUCGAGCGAACAGACGAGGAUCUUUCUCCUCUUACGUUAGCGGCGGACGGGUGAUUAACACGUGUCUAACCUACCUAUAAGACUGGGAUAACUUCGGGAAACCUGAUCUAAUACCGGAUAAUAUAUUGAACCGCAUGGUUCAUUAGUGAAAGCCGUUUUUGCUGUCACUUAUAGAUGUUUCCUCGCCGCAUUAGCUAGUUGGUAAGGUAACGGCUUACCGAGGCAACGAUGCGUAGCCGACCUGAGAGGAUGAUCGGCCACACUGGAACUGAGACACGGUCCAGACUCCUACGGGAGGCAGCAGUAGGGAAUAUUCCGCAAAGGGCGAAAGCCUGACGGAGCAACGCCGCGUGAGUGAUGAAGGUCUUCGGAUCGUAAAACUCUGUUAUUAGGGAAGAAGAAAUGUGUAAGUAAAUAUGCACGUAUUGACGGUACCUAAUCAGAAAGCAACGGCUAACUACGUG
rnacentral:rRNA from 1 species